GCGGUGCCUUCCACGCUGCGCUACGGAGGCCCCGCCCACACGACCACGCCUACUAGGCCACGCCCACGGUCGCUCCGUGGAGGCCCCGCCCACACCGAGACCCAGCCUCUCAGCCCCGACUGCAGAGAGGAAAGAGCUGCCGGGGCGAUCUGGGCCAUGGCUUCCGUUGGGUAAGGGUUCGACUGGGUCGGCAUGCGGACCCCCAGUUCCCGGGUCCCGACUCAGGGCUGGGCAAGUGCGCUACCACUGAGCUACGUCCCCAUGCCCACCCCAGUGGCACAGUUCUUACACAGAGAUUUGGGGAAAGGCAGAGCCUCCCUUCACUUGACAACCAUGCUCUGAGCACCUGCUGUGCCGAGCCUGUGAUGGGGUGAUCAGGGAGGACUUCCUGAGGCAGCGAUGCGGCUAGACCCUGGCCUAAUGCCACAAUAAAGGUAAUUCCUUUUACCUAAACACUCAGAUAUGAAAACAGAAACAAGUGUCUUCCAGACCUCCUAGCCCGCAAAACCCAGACCUCAGCCCCCCAGAAGCAACUGCCCCGUGGCACUGUGCAAAAUGCCGUGACAGUCGCAUAUAUAGAAGGCGCCAUGAACAACUAAGUCCCACCUUUGCUCUGUGGAGGUCCCCAUGCUGCCCUCUGCACAAAAGUCAGUCAGAACCAGAUGCUAUGUUUGUUAAGCUUCCUUCACCUGCAAAAUAAAAAUGACAGUACCUCGAAAAAAGUUUGUCAGAAGGCAAUUAUUGUAAACCCCAAAUUUUUCAUUCACUCACUCUGAACACAGUCCCUUCACGUUCCUGCUCUGUCUUCCAC
rnacentral:lncRNA from 1 species